AACGAACGCUGGCGGCAGGCUUAACACAUGCAAGUCGAGCGAGGGCUUCGGCCCUAGCGGCGGACGGGUGAGUAACGCGUGGGAACGUGCCCUUUCCUCCGGAAUAGCCCUGGGAAACUGGGAGUAAUGCCGGAUACGCCUCGCAAGAGGGAAAGAUUUAUCGGGGAAGGAUCGGCCCGCGUCGGAUUAGGUAGUUGGUGGGGUAACGGCCCACCAAGCCGACGAUCCGUAGCUGGUUUGAGAGGAUGAUCAGCCACACUGGGACUGAGACACGGCCCAGACUCCUACGGGAGGCAGCAGUGGGGAAUCUUGGACAAUGGGGGCAACCCUGAUCCAGCCAUGCCGCGUGAGCGAUGAAGGCCUUAGGGUUGUAAAGCUCUUUCAGCGGGGAAGAUAAUGACGGUACCCGCAGAAGAAGCCCCGGCUAACUCCGUGCCAGCCGCCGCAGUAACAC
rnacentral:rRNA from 1 species